rnacentral:rRNA from 1 species
CACGUGAGUAACCUGCCCCAGACUCUGGGAUAACAGUUGGAAACAGCUGCUAAUACCGGAUACGAGACGGAGAGGCAUCUCUACCGUCUGGAAAGUUUUUCGGUCUGGGAUGGACUCGCGGCCUAUCAGCUUGUUGGUGAGGUAAUGGCUCACCAAGGCGACGACGGGUAGCCGGCCUGAGAGGGCGACCGGCCACACUGGGACUGAGACACGGCCCAGACUCCUACGGGAGGCAGCAGUGGGGAAUAUUGCACAAUGGGCGAAAGCCUGAUGCAGCGACGCCGCGUGAGGGAUGACGGCCUUCGGGUUGUAAACCUCUUUCAGCAGGGAAGAAGCGAAAGUGACGGUACCUGCAGAAGAAGCACCGGCUAACUACGUG